UGAACCUUUACUAUUCUUCUUCCCUGUGGCGUGGAGGGAGUGGUGCUGGAAACGCUGACGUCUGUCCUCAGAGCAGCGCUCGGGGUUAGAGGACUGUCAGGCAACCAGGGGACACAAACAAGCCGGUAACUAUUGACUCGGGCUGGGGAAGAGCUAGCCGGAGAAAGGGCCAGGGCCAGUGCCGGGGUGACGGGCAGCACCACAGGGCGCGAGGCGGGACCCCCCAGCAUGGCGAGGCGAUUCACCAAUCGGCUGAGCGCACGAAGGUAAGCCCCGCCCCCCGCGGCAGCCCGGCCGGAGGAGCUCGCGCCUGUCGUUCCCCCGCACUGAUCCGCGCUGACUUGCGGUUCCAAUGAAAGGCCCCAAUGUCUGUCUUUUUAUAACCGGUGUUUCCCCUUUCAUGCCCAAAAGCCAGCAGCCA
rnacentral:lncRNA from 1 species